rnacentral:rRNA from 1 species
UACAGAGGUGGCAAGCGUUGUUCGGAAUUACUGGGCGUAAAGGGCGCGUAGGCGGCUUGGUCAGUCCCGUGUGAAAUCCCUCGGCUCAACUGAGGAACUGCACGGGAAACUGCCUGGCUUGAGUUCGGGAGAGGGAAGCGGAAUUCCGGGUGUAGCGGUGAAAUGCGUAGAUAUCCGGAGGAACACCGGUGGCGAAGGCGGCUCACUGGCCCGAUACUGACGCUGAGGUGCGAAAGCGUGGGGAGCAAACAGG